rnacentral:rRNA from 1 species
CCUACGGGGGGCAGCAGUGAGGAAUAUUGGUCAAUGGACGAGAGUCUGAACCAGCCAAGUAGCGUGAAGGAUGACUGCCCUAUGGGUUGUAAACUUCUUUUAUAUGGGAAUAAAAUGUUCCACGUGUGGGAUUUUGUAUGUACCAUAUGAAUAAGGAUCGGCUAACUCCGUGCCAGCAGCCGCGGUAAUACGGAGGAUCCGAGCGUUAUCCGGAUUUAUUGGGUUUAAAGGGAGCGUAGGUGGAUUGUUAAGUCAGUUGUGAAAGUUUGCGGCUCAACCGUAAAAUUGCAGUUGAAACUGGCAGUCUUGAGUACAGUAGAGGUGGGCGGAAUUCGUGGUGUAGCGGUGAAAUGCUUAGAUAUCACGAAGAACUCCGAUUGCGAAGGCAGUUCACUGGACUGCAACUGACACUGAGGCUCGAAAGUGUGGGUAUCAAACAGGAUUAGAUACACGUGUAGUC